rnacentral:lncRNA from 1 species
ACUUCGCUUUAGUGUAGAUGACCACUCCCCUCUGUAAGAGUCCAUUCUAAGUUGUUCUGUCAGUGAAACUCUGUUUAAAACAUGGCUUGUAUGAAGUUGUCAGGAAUCGGCUCUGACACUUGGAUGAUUCUUCAGCUGGCUAUAAAAUUCUAAAAUCAGAGUAACCGUGUAUUGACUUCCAACAUUCCACAUUUCCAAAGGUGUUUCCUGUGAUCUCUGGGAUCCUGAUCCGCACCACUCAACUUUGGCCUCCUAAACUUCAUCCUUGACCCCACCCCAGGUAGGAAGGAUGUGUGGAUAUUUCUUUUAUCUUUCUGCAACGAUGACCUUUUGGAGAAAAAGAAAGGAAGCAGCUAUCAUAGUGUGAAAUUUCACAGCCAAAACUUCUGCAUCAGCUUCAUAAGGCAGGAAGCCUACAAAUUCCCCUCUUAUGUUUUGAGACUCAUCAACAAACCUCACCGAGACUCAUCAACAAAUCUCACCAACAUAGGACCUCUUGACCAGAAUUUAUCCAGCACUCCAGCACGGCUUGCACGUUAUCUGGAGUAAAGAGACCUUCUGGGAUUUCAUCAGCCUCCUGUCCAUCAAGAGUUCUUCCAGUUUUUGACUGACUGAAUUUUCAGUGAACUGUGUGUCUAACUGAAGCUUUGAGAGAGAGAGAGAGAGAAAGAAGGAAAAAAAGAAAAGGUUUUACUUCACUUGAACUUGUUAAAAAGGAAGAGACACAGAUCCAGCAUAGUAGAAGGAGAAAGAAAGCAGACAACAGUUUGGAAUGGAGGCAUUGAGACGGAAGAGUCCAUUGGAGAUGGAAUGUACACACAAAAAUAACAAUUUAGGUCCUUUGCUCAUGCAACAUCUUGUUCUAAUGUCCUCUGCUCCAGGUCACAACAUUGAGCUACAAAGUGUGUGCAGUGACUCCAGUCUGCAUUCAUGCUACAAGAUGAUCCGUUUAGUAAGACUGAGCAAGGCUUGUUAACCUCUUGGACGUGAGAGAUUUCCCCUGAGAAAAUAUAUAAAACAAGAGAAAAGAAAGAAAAUCAAGUACGAUCACUGAAAACCUGCUUAGUAGUAGCAACUAUUUACUGUAGCUGAUUUUUGUGCAAGGUCAACACUGAACCCUUUAAGUCCAUCUUAGUUCAAACCUCAUGACCAACCUGCCUUCCCCCCUCCCUCCCUCCACUGACACGUCAAACAAAACUAUCCUCCCUCCCUCCACCCUCCUACCCCUCCCAAAUCCUUCCUCCCCACUGCAAACAGACUGAUGGUUUCACAGCACAGAUUAGCAAAUCAUAAAACAUAUCCAUAAAUGCUCCAUCAAGGCUUAGCAAUGAAGCAACACCUAGGUUCCCAACUGAUUAUAAACAUGUUACAACAAAUCUUAGUAAGCUGCUCUGAAAGAUAAUGUGAGUGCAUUCUUGUUCAAUGGCUGAAAUUAAUGUCACAUUUAUAAAUAUCUAGAAAUGUAGAGGAUACGAUUUAAUUAAAUAAAAUGCAGUUUUUGAGGGUGUGAUUCAUGAAA